AGCACUUACUUGUCAUCUGUGGCCAAUUCUGACUUCCAGAAAGUUUCUGAGCCACUUCCCUACCCGCCCUCAGCUUUUAUCAGAAAACACAUGGCACUCAGAGAGGAAAGUCUUUACUAGAAUAUCAGCCUAAACCAACUCAGUCAGACAAGUAAAUCUCCUGGAAAAAAUAAUAGAAGUGAUGUUUGAACUCUCGGUGCUAUUUCUAAACCACUCCCUGCCAGGUGGGGUACAUGGAGAGCUGCAGAGCUCAGCUAAAACAAAGGUGGCGAUGUUACCCCCUUCAAAGUCACUGCUCAUGGGGAGAGCCUGGGUCACAGCCUAGAGGCGGAAGGGAGUCGAGGCUCUGAUAAGGCAGGGGAAGGACAGGACAGUGCCUGGGGCCUGCUGACUGUUCCUUCACCCCAGAGACCACAGGGAUAAUCAGCUCACAGAGCCUUCCGGCCUCAGGCAUUUAGUUCUCACUCUAGGGCCUCUUGUGGGAGAGAGGGACGAGGACCCAACACCAGCCUCUCCCCAGGGUAGGCUGAGCGCCUCCCCAUUAAAGGCUUUGGCUGUAGCCGCUCUCCCGUGCAGAGGUUUCCCCGGCGGCAGCGGCCCGCUUCAUGCUGCUGCCGUCUGUCUUUCUGUUACUGCUGAAAUGUGUCCCCACAAGAUUCAUAUGUUGAAGUCCUAAACUUCAUAUUUCUUCAUAAUAUGACUGUAUUUGGAGAUAGGCUUUUAAAGAUAAGAUUAAGUUAAAAUGUGGCCAUUAGGGUGGGCCCUAAUCUAACCUGAUGGUGUCUUUUUAAGAGGAAAUUUGGAUACACCAGGAGUGCACAGGCACAGAGAGAUACCCAUGUAAACAGGCAGCAAAAGGGUGCCCACCUGCAAGCCAGAGAGAGAGGCCUCAGGAAAACCCAAUCAAGUUGGCACCUUGAUCUUGGACUUCCAGCCUCCAGAACUGUGAGAAAAUAAGUCUCUGAGGUCGGUGAGCCACUCUGUGGUGUUUCAUUAUGGCAGCCCUGACAAACUAAGACACUUCCCCUGUCUGGGGGUCAUGAACAAGAGUCUGGGGGACCCCCUCCAACACACUCCCAAGAGCCCCAGUAGCCCGGGCAGGGUCCCCUCAGCUCAGCACCACCCUUAGUCAACCCUCAGCUUCUCCAGCCUCCUCCAGAAAUCUCUAACUGCCUGAAGGCCAAUCAGUGAGCCAACCAAGGCUGUGUGCAGGUUGGGAUUGCUACAAGACACCAAGGCAGUCCAGGAAAGGCCUGGGGACUCAGAGCAGGGACAGUGAGACAGGGGCAGAGAAGCAACAAACAGCACAGCCAACAGGCCUCUGGGCUGAGGAUCAGGGUACCCUCAUGGUUCCCCAGCUGUCGGCCACAGGGCUACUGUAGGCCUCAGUUUCCCCACUACACUCAGGCACCCUCUCUUAGAGCCCAGAGAGAAAUCAGGGUCCUAAAGUGUGGCUAAAUGCAUAGAAUGGAAAAAAUACUUCUAAUCACAACAACCAACUUUUCCUAGUGCUAACUAUAUGUGAGCCACUGUUCCAGAUGCUUUGGUGUGUUUUCCUUGAAUCCUUGCAAUAACCCCGUAAGUCAUACAUUAGCCCCAUUUGACACAGAAGACACUGAGAAGAAGCUUGCCAAAGGACUGCAGCUGUAAGAGGCAGUGCUGGGCUUUGAAUGGGAGCAGUCUAGCUCCAGAGCUGAGCUUCUUGAGGAGAGCAGAUUGCAGGGUGGGAGGUGGGGUGGGGUGGGGUCUGAGCCCAUCAAGGCCCCAGCAUAUAUCAGUGAGGUGAGAGCCAGCCAAGGACAGGGCUUUAGGGACAAUAGCAGCUGAACAAUCCACCUUGUCAUCAAUCAACCAAAUUAUAAACACACAGGACUCGCAUCUGUGGGAAAGACUGUGACCUCCUACCCUCCCGCACGUGGGGAAAACAGCUUGGAGAGGAUCAAAGGGGCAGAGGUACCCCAGGAGUUAUUCUUUAGUCUGUGUGCUGGGCAAACAAAACUGGGAGGGGGCAGGAAAAGCAGGCUGCAACCUUCAUCAGAGGCUUCACCUACCAGCCCACCCCACCCUCUCAGGCAUGUGGCUAGAGGGAAGGCAUGAAGGGGAAAAUGGAGAUAAAACAGAGACACUCCAGAAGCAGUGGCUCCCACAGGAUCUCCAGGAAGCCAUUCUCACCCCUUCCCAGGAUUCCUCAAACCAAAGGGUUGGUCCAAGGGUCUGCCGAGAGGCUGCUGGAGAGCUCCACCUGGUAAGUGCAUUAAGAGGAUCCCUGGGCCUUGCUGGAUUCCUUGGAGUUUUCCCAUCCAUCCUGCUGAGCUGCUCCAGAGCUUUGAUCACUACUACACGAAGGGUUUCCUGAAUGCUUUCCUGAGGACAUUGUUCCCCACUAUAGAGUCAUCAGGGUCAAAUUCAUCAUGGGCUAUCCUGAUCCAGGUCCUACCCAGGAGGAAAAUGCAGCCUUCUGCCCAAGCCCCAGUCCCCUAGAAAAAUAAGUCAGUAGUUUCUUUUGGUUCAUCCCAUUACCAGCCUUGGGGAAGGUAACGCUGUAGCAAAACACAGCUGCCAUUAGCUCUAAGCUGCCAGGCACCUCAAAGCACACACCUGGCGGCCCUGCUCCCUAUCCUUCUAAGAGACCUGUCCCCACACCCAGCCCCAGUACCUGCUCCAUCCCAGAAUCACACUCCAGGACCUCUUAAUUCAUUCAACAUUUAUUGACAAUGAUCAUUUGUGAGGUACUCUGCAAGGGGCAGAGGAGUAAGAAUUGGUCCCUGCCCUCAAGGAACUCACAGUCUAGGGGGGGAUACAGACACACCAAUCCCAGUGCCUUAUUUAACAACAUUCUUGCAGUGGAAGAAUGAACACAGGGCUAGAGAAGCAGAGCAGGAAAGACAAUCUGUGCUUAGGAAAACUGCAGGUGGCCCCGCAUGCUAAAUCCUAUAGUGUAACUAGGAGUUUACUAGUUACCAGGCAGCCAGUGAGGGAAGUACCAAGGAGGCACGAUGUGUAGGGCACAUGGAGGUCUCAAAGUUUAAAUGGGCAUAACAUAUUCAAGAUGUGGCAAAAACUAGGUUCUAUCAUGGGGAACAAUGGGAGAUGAAGCUAAGGAGGUGGGCAGGGGCACGAUGGUGAAAGAGCUUGCAUGACAUGCAAGCGCCUUUCAUUUGUUUCCUGUAGGCGAGGAGCCAGGAAGGUCUUCAGAAAGAAAAUGCUGGCAGAAAUGGGGAGAAUUUUCAGGAAGAAACCAAAAGCUUAGGCAAGGAAUGAAGAGGGCCAAAAGCAGCGGAAUAAGGUGGAAAACAAAGGAUGGAUUUCAGAUGUAGAAGUGGCCACCAUGGGUGGGUGAUGGAAUCCAUGGGAGGGAGGAGGGGCAAGAUCAAAAACAACCUCAACAACAGGACAGAGGGCAGAGACUCUGCCAGACACUGCACUAGGUGUCUUAUAAACAUAAACACUAUGUCAAUGUCACCACUCUGUGAAGUAGGCAGAAUUAGCCCCAUUUUACAGAUGAUGUUCAGAAAAUUUAAAUAACUUCUCUAGUCACACAGCUAGAUUACAGAGUUAGGCUUCAAACCCAGGUCAACAUUUCAACCGUUAUAUUAUAUGGUAAAUCUAGACAGAGAUGGGUGGUAUGCUGUUUUGGAUAAUGAUCUAGAAUUUAGGGGGAAAUUCUGAACUAGAGAUAUACAUUUGAGAGUCAUCGCCACUGGGGUGGGUGAAGCCACAGAUGAGGCUAAGACUGUCCAGCAAGAAAACAGGCAAGAAUGAAGCUGGAAAAGCACUCACAUUAGAACAGGAGGGAGCAGGGGCAGGAGAGCUGGAAAAGGAAACUGAGAUGUGGUGAUGUCAAGGGAGAAUCCCAUGAAGAGAAUGUUGUGUACUGCAAAAAGCGAGAAUAUGACCAGUAUAUAAGAUCUGCAAUUACAAAGGCUUUGAACCAAAAUGCCUUGACCACUGUAUUGGUGGAGGCAGAGAGCAAGCAGUAAAGAGCAACAAAGGGCACAGGGAUGGGGUUGGGAGCCUCGAGGAGUUUGGAUUAAAAAAAGAUUACCUUGGCCGGGCACGGUGGCUCACACCUAUAAUCCCAGCACUUUGGGAGGCCAAGGCGGGCAGAUCACGAGGUCAGGAGAUCGAGACCAUCCUGGCUAACGUGGUGAAACCCCGUCUCUACUAAAAAAGUACAAAAAAUUAGCCAGGCAUGGUGGCGGACGCCUGUAGUCCCAGCUACUCGGGAGGCUGAGGCAGGAGAAUGGUGUGAACCCAGGAGGCGGAGCUUACAGUGAGCUGAGAUCCUGUCACUGCACUCCAGCCUGGGUGACAAAGCGAGACUCCGUCUCAAAAAAAAAAAAAAAAAAAAAAAAAAAAAAAAUUACCUUGAAGUGUUGCAGACUCUGUUGCAUCCACAACCCAUGAAGGAAGAGGGCCGGGCGAGAUGGUUAUGCAAAUUACUCCAGCUGCACUUAGCAGCUUAGGCUCAGAGAAGGAGAAACGGAAUUGCAGCAGGGGUUGGAAGUGAAGAAACUGGGCAGUGAGAGAGGGAAUAAGGGCCCUAAGGACUUUGGAUUCUUCUACAUGGAAAAGGUGCCCUUGCUGGGGCGCUAGUAAAGAUUUUUUUAAAUCUGAAUAAUUAGAAGGGCCCAUUAGGCAUUUUUUAACAAAAAACAAAGCCAGAGUUUACUUUUGUAUUAUGUAAAAAGGAUCUGAUUAACACAUAAUUGAUGUUAACAAGUUUAAUUCAAAAAGAAUAAACUGUUUUUUAAGUACCAGAGGCACUGCUGGAACAGGAUGAAAACUGAUACACCGGUUACUAAUUACUCUUCACUCUUCAAACUGAUUCCCCUAAAGACUUCUACUUAGCAAAUACUAUAAAAUACGCUCUGUACAGGAAAGAAAUAAUAGCACAUGUAUUUGUAUUUUAUUAUUCAGACUGGCUGCCAUCCCAACUAGAUAAAGGAGGUUUUACUGGGCUGUAAUAUCUAGCACUUGCAUGUUUUCAGAGCACUCUAAACUGGUUGUCUCACUCUUUUCACACGAUCAGCAGGGAACACGUUCCCCAUUUUGCAGGGAAACCAAGGCCAGUAGAGGUGAAGCGGCAUACCCCAGGUCAUCACUCAGAUCGCUUGCCUCCAAGUCCAAGGCUCUUUCCCCUCCCAAUUCUCCUGAUCUGUGACCUCCUGGGCAUUCUGGCCAAUCUGCUUCCCUCUGACUUUGCAGACUGCACUGAUGGAACUACCACUAAGGCAGGUGUGGAGCCUGCAAUCUCCUGACCAGCUUGUGCUUCUUGGUUCUUAUGCAAGCCAGUUCUCUCUGUGAAAUAUUUCUAAGCAGCCCUCAACCACCAGGUCUAUGAGGGUCCCUGUUGUCCCUCAGCCAAGGCUGCUCUCUCCCCUAGAUCCCCACCUCACCAGGGUCACAAGGAUACACACAACUAUUGCAGGAAACAUAGGUUCUUCCUGCAAUACAAUUAAAGCUGCUAACAUUUACUGAGUACCUACUGGUUGUUGUGAGGAUAUUGAGGUUCAGAAGGGCUAAGUGACUUGCCCAAGGUCAUCCAGUUAAUUGUUAAGGCAGUAUUCAUAACUCGAGCCUGUCAGACUCUAGAAUCCACUUUAUUUUUCCUCUGCUACACUGCCCUGGCUCCCUACCCUACAAGUGCUUAGAGAUCUAAAGCAAAGUAGAAAAGGAAAAGUGAGCAAGACGGAGGGGCUUUUACAUUUUCACUGCCUGGCUCCCAACCCAGACUCUGGCAAGGCUAAUUCCAUGAUGUUUCACUCAGCGGCAGUCCCACCAGCCUGGAGCCCUGGGGAGCUGACCAGAGUCAAAAGGCUCCCUGGCAGGCUUGUUCUGGCAGCUGCCCAGCCGACUUGUGCUAACACAGCAACAGGCACAGGAAAGAGUCUAGAAAGAGUGGAAAAGCACCAGACACUGAACCGCUGCAGGGAGAGAAGUGAUUCCUGCCGUGCUCGGAGAGGACCCUAUACUAAAGCCACCACCAUCAUUGGGCUGGGAAGAGACGGGGGUAAGCGGGGAGCAAAAAGCCCCAAGCACAUCCACUCACUCAUGUGUUUCAGUGAACUGUGACUGGAAGGCCAGUCAAAAAGAGGGUCACAUGCCUCCAAGGUGAAUCAGCAAGCAUGGAAGAAAACCGGUCUGCACCUUGGUUCAUCCCAGCAACCCUGACCUGUCUAUACCCACGUCCACAUAAACCUUGCUAUCUAAUGUCACCCGAGCAGAGGCAAGAGCACAUAUACUAUCUUACAGCCACCGCAACGGCUGAUUUCAGCCAGCCUGUGGGAAAGAAAGAUCUAGCUGAGAACACUAAUAGACUUGCUAGAGGAAGAAUUCAGUGACAAAGUGCCCUUGGAAAGGAAAGAAAAGAAUUUAAAAGGGGGCACAAUCAAAGUGAGACUGGAAGAAGGGAGCCACCUGGAUUCCCAAAGAUAGGGCUCUCUCGACCAGACACCAAGUGGAGGCCAACGGGUGGUGACAGGGAUAUUUUAAAAGAUCUGAAAAUCCAAAAAUGUCCAUGGGAAAUGUGUUUGCUAUUAUUUCUGUAGGCUUUCCAUCCUCACAUUUUUCUUAGGUUAUUAAGCUGCCUUUGUACAGGAUGCCCAAAAGUGUUUUGAGGGAAACCAAUUCUGGGAUCUAAUAUUUGUAACAAGUUGUUAGAUCGCCAAAAAAAAAAAAAAAAAAAAAACCAUAAUUAUAGGUGUCAUCAGAAGGAGGAGGCAGUUUGAGAGGUCACAAAUUGGCAGCCACUGGGUCAAAUUAACCCCACGGGUAUGAUAGCAUGCUUAGAAUUUUGUAUAAUGAAUUAUCAACACUUGAAAAUCAGAAGGUUACACACACCAAAAAACCCUGAAUUUCUAGCAUCUCUUCAUUUUUUUUUUUUUACCCCCUCUGGAGCUCUUAGAACAUCUUUUAGAAAAAUUCAAAAAUCUGGU
rnacentral:lncRNA from 1 species